CAGCCUGAAAUGAUGGUUCUUUACAUUUCAUGUCUCUUCUCUGACAUUUUUCUUUGGAGAUAGUUCUUACCUUAUUGAUCUGAUCAGGCUG
rnacentral:snoRNA from 1 species